CGGCGGCAUGCCUUACCAUGCAAGUCGAACGGUACAGCUCUUCGGAGGCUGACGAGUGGCGAACGGGUGAGUAAUACAUCGGAACGUGCCCGAUCGUGGGGGAUAACGGAGCGAAAGCUUUGCUAAUACCGCAUACGAUCUACGGAUGAAGGCAGGGGACCCUCGGGCCUUGCGCGAACGGAGCGGCCGAUGGCAGAUUAGGUAGUUGGUGGGAUAAAAGCUUACCAAGCCGACGAUCUGUAGCUGGUCUGAGAGGACGACCAGCCACACUGGGACUGAGACACGGCCCAGACUCCUACGGGAGGCAGCAGUGGGGAAUUUUGGACAAUGGGCGAAAGCCUGAUCCAGCAAUGCCGCGUGCAGGAUGAAGGCCUUCGGGUUGUAAACUGCUUUUGUACGGAACGAAAAGUCUCGGGAUAAUACCCUGGGACCAUGACGGUACCGUAAGAAUAAGCACCGGCUAACUACGUGCCAGCAGCCGCGGUAAU
rnacentral:rRNA from 1 species